GACGAAGAACGCAGCGAAAUGCGAUACGUAAUGUGAAUUGCAGAAUUCAGUGAAUCAUCGAGUCUUUGAACGCACAUUGCGCCCCCUGGUAUUCCGGGGGGCAUGCCUGUCCGAGCGUCAUUGCUGCCCUCAAGCCCGGCUUGUGUGUUGGGUCUCGUCCCCCUUCCCGGGGGGACGGGCCCGAAAGGCAGCGGCGGCACCGCGUCCGGUCCUCGAGCGUAUGGGGCUUUGUCACCCGCUCUGUAGGCCCGGCCGGCGCUUGCCGAUCAACCAAAACUUUUUUCCAGGUUGACCUCGGAUCAGGUAGGGAUACCCGCUGAACUUAAGCAUAUCAAUAAGCGGAGGA
rnacentral:misc_RNA from 1 species